rnacentral:rRNA from 1 species
AGCGAACGCUGGCGGCGUACCUAACACAUGCAAGUCGAACGGGGAUCAUCGGAUUGGCAACAAUUCGGUGGUUCUAGUGGCGCACGGGUGAGUAACACGUGGGUAACCUGCCCUUGAGUCUGGGAUACCCCCUCGAAAGGGGGGCUAAUACCGGAUACGUUCCUUAGGCCGAAAGGUUUGAGGAGGAAAGGUGGCGCAAGCUGCCGCUCUUGGAGGGGCCCGCGGCCUAUCAGCGAGUUGGCGGGGUAACGGCCCACCAAGGCUAUGACGGGUAGCUGGUCUGAGAGGACGACCAGCCACACGGGGACUGAGACACGGCCCCGACUCCUACGGGAGGCAGCAGUGGGGAAUUUUCCGCAAUGGGCGAAAGCCUGACGGAGUGACGCCGCGUGUGGGACGAAGGCCUUCGGGUCGUAAACCACUGUCAGUGGGAAAGAAGGGUGUCGGCGCGAUAACCGCCGGCAUUUGACGGUACCUGCAGAGGAAGCCCCGGCUAACUC